GAAAUGCGAUAAGUAAUGUGAAUUGCAGAAUUCAGUGAAUCAUCGAAUCUUUGAACGCAUCUUGCGCUCCUUGGUAUUCCUUGGAGCAUGCCCGUUUGAGUAUCAUGAAAUCUUCAAAGUAAAUCUUUUGUUAACUCAAUUGGUUUCUACUUUGGUAUUGGAGGUCUUUGCAGCUUCACACCUGCUCCUCUUUGUUCAUUAGCUGGAUCUCAGUGUUAUGCUUGGUUCCACUCGGCGUGAUAAGUUAUCUAUCGCUGAGGACACUGUAAAAGGUGGCCAAGGUAAAUGCAGAUGAACCGCUUCUAAUAGUCCAUUGACUUGGACAAUACUUUUAUGAUCUGAUCUCAAAUCAGGUAGGACUACCCGCUGAACUUAAGC
rnacentral:misc_RNA from 1 species